rnacentral:misc_RNA from 1 species
GCGGCUGGAUCACCUCCUUUCUAAGAGAAAGAUAAACUAAGGCGUAAUUCCAUUAACUCUUCCCUACUCUCUUCUUUUGAUAAAAGAGUUUUUAAAACCAGUGUUAUUUUUUUAAGUUUAAUAGAAAUUUAUGUAUUAAACUUUUUAUUAAUGAUAUUAAAGCGCUCUAUUAAGUUUAGAUCAUUUUGGGGGUUUAGCUCAGUUGGCUAGAGCAUCGGCUUUGCAAGCCGAGGGUCAAGGGUUCGAGUCCCUUAACCUCCAUUUGGCAUUUGCCUUGGAUUGUGAUUAAGCAUUUUUUCAAGUAACUUUGUUAUAGCGAUUAUUUUAAAGAUGAAAUAGAGGAAGUUAGAAUUUAUGGGUUAAAGGUGGGAUCUUUUGAUACUAAGAAAACUGUCUAGAAACAAAAACAAGCCUCUUAUAAAAACUUACGGUGUGUCAUUAAAUCAUAAGAAUUAAACAAGAUUACAUUUUCUAGUAGUCUAUUUUAAACAUCCCACAUUCAUUACUAGCUUUUAAUUAGGAAUUAAUGUGAGUCGUUAAAGCGUGAUGUCUGGGAGCAAAUCUUGUAACGAAUAGUGAUCUUUGUUAUCGUUAUCACCACGUAAUGACGGGGGUUUGUAUAAUACUUUGGGGAGUAUAAGUAGGAGGGAGAGUAAGGGCUUCUGUGUCCAAAUCAUUGCUCUUAUGUCCUGAGCUGUGUACGUUCUAUAGUGGUCUGUGUAAAGAAGCGAAGAUAAACAGCGAUGUGAAGCAAGGCGCGUAAGGCAGGUCUAAGUCUGGAUUGAAGUUUGAAAUUAGAUUUCAUGAAGUUGAAAUCGCUAGUAAUCGUAUAUUGGCAUGAUACGAUGAAUACGUUCUCAGGCACUUGUACGCACUCGUCCGUCACACCAUUUGAGUUGAGGAUGACCUAAGUUAUUAUCCUAACCCGUAAGGGAGGAAGGUAUUUAAGGUAUGUUUGGGGGGAGAGAAAUGGAGUCGUAACAAGAAGCUAGUACUUUCUAGUAUGGCUUGGAUUAGCCUCUUUUUAGGAGAAAGGCAAAUUAAGGUUAAUUUUAUUGACCAUUCUUUGUACUUUUAUUUUGAUGAAAAAAUCUUUGAAGUCAAGGUAAAUUUUUAGUUUAAAAUUUAGAAAAAAUAAAUCUUUAGUAGGUGUUUAACAGUAUUCAGCUUUAUAUUUAAUUAAGCUAUUGUUUGAUAGUAGGUACAAUUUUAGGGUGAGGGGUUUUUAUAUUAUUAAUUAUAGCUUAAAGCAAUGAUGCCAUACUAAAACGAUGAAAUACAUG